AUAUAUAAUACAACCGAUUAAGUUUAUAUUGUAGAAGAUAAAGGUAAAU
rnacentral:guide_RNA from 1 species